GAUGAACGCUAGCGGCAGGCUUAAUACAUGCAAGUCGAGGGGUAGAGAGGAGCUUGCUCCUCUUGAGACCGGCAAACGGGUGCGGAACACGUACAGAACCUUCCUUCGAGCGGGGAAUAGCCUAGAGAAAUUUGGAUUAAUACCCCAUAGUAUAUCAGAGUGGCAUCACUCAGAUAUUAAAGAUUUAUCACUUGAAGAUGGCUGUGCGGCUGAUUAGGUAGUUGGCGGGGUAACGGCCCACCAAGCCUACGAUCAGUAACUGGUGUGAGAGCACGACCAGUCAAACGGGCACUGAGACACGGGCCCGACUCCUACGGGAGGCAGCAGUAAGGAAUAUUGGUCAAUGGACGAAAGUCUGAACCAGCCAUGCCGCGUGGAGGAUGAAGGCCCUCUGGGUUGUAAACUUCUUUUAUAUGGGAAGAAAAAAGAUCUCUCUAGAUCGUCUGACGGUACCAUAUGAAUAAGCACCGGCUAACUCCGUGCCAGCAGCCGCCGUAAGAC
rnacentral:rRNA from 1 species